CAGCACAUCGCUGAACUGAAGCCGUGAUUUCAGUGGGCUCAGUUUAGAAGUGUGCCUCG
rnacentral:pre_miRNA from 1 species